rnacentral:misc_RNA from 1 species
GUGGGAGGGGGCUUGCCCCCGAUAGCGGCGGACCAGUCAGCUUAUCUGCUGCUGACCCACCGCAUCGGGGGCAAGCCCCCUCCCAC